rnacentral:lncRNA from 1 species
UCGGGCUAAGCCAUUACCUCUCAGCCUCCGUGCCCCGGUGGGCUCUGAAGGAGCCUGUUUCAUCCUGAGCAAUGGUGGAGGCGGAGGCUGCAGAGGAGGGGUGAAGUCCUGGGGCUCUGGGGGAGACAAAGGACCCUGCUGGUGUCCCUCAGACCCGGGUUCUGGCCCCUCUGCUUCGUGUGACUUCAGACAAGUCGCUUUACCUCUGUGAGUCUGUUUCCCCAGCUGUAAAAUGGGGAUCAUAACACCAACCUACCUCUCAGGAUCCCCAAGAGGAGGAAGUAGGCGAAUGUACAAGAAGGCCCCUUCCACCCAGCCUGGGCACUGCUGGUGCUCACAGGGACUCAGGAACAGUGCGUCAUGGGGCGUGGGUCACCUUCUCUGGGCCCACAUACCAGCUUUGCCUCUCACUGGCCGUGUUCUCUUGGAAAAAUGACCUACGUUUCCUAAGUCUAUGUUUCCACAUCUGUAAAAUGAGGAUGAUCCACAUAUGGUUGUCCCAGUAUUAUUCUGAGAAUUAAAUGAGAUACUUCAUUAAAGUACUUGAUGCAUAGGAUGGACUUAAUAAAUUACUACGUAACGAUACACUCUGGGAAUAUGUAAGGCCUGUGAGUGGAGAAUGCCAUGCCGGGGAUGUUAUUUGGAAGGAUCCAGAAUCACUAAAACAGAAUUUAACAGGGAGAAGGAUAAAAGUUCUCCAUUAAAGUUCCAAACAUGAGUUUCGUAUAUUUUUCCACUUCUGUGUCAGAGAAGCCACACCUCUCCCGUCACCAGCCCUCGGAACCUGCAGAAAGAGAUGUCAAAUGGGAAGACCUCGCAUGUGCUGGCUUGUGGCAUUUGCCUGUUUCUUUUCACAGCCAACGAACCGUCACUGAGCACCGUCUGUGUGCCCCGAGAAACACAUUGGGAAAUGGAUAUUCUAGAAGAGUUCUCCAACAACCAUUUCUUGGAAUUGUAAAUGUCUGAGGGCUGCUGCAAUACUUCAGAUUAUCUUGUUUUCUUGAUCUGUGGAAGCCAAGAUUUUAAUGCUACAUCUGUGUGAGUAUCUUUUGAUAAUAAGAACCAAAUGUUGUCGGUGGAAAUGACUGGAAAUUACACUUAGGAUCAGAAUGUGGGGUUUUAGAUUCCCUCUUGGAAGGCAGUGCUGAGAAACAAACACAAGGGACAUUUUCCCUAUAAAUCACUCAGGAUGUUGCAACACUCAAGGCUCCUGCCUGCUCCUCUCUCCGGGCAUCAGGAAGCCUGGGAUGGAGCACCCUGGGCGAAGGGGUCCACUGGUCAGUAGUAAAUAUCCCAUAGCUCAAAUUAAACCUCCAGUUCCCAUCUCCCC